rnacentral:rRNA from 1 species
UACGUAGGGGGCGAGCGUUGUCCGGAUUUAUUGGGCGUAAAGAGCGUGUAGGCGGUUCGGUAAGUCUGUCGUGAAAUCCUGAGGCUCAACCUCGGGCGUGCGAUGGAUACUGCCGGGCUAGAGGGUGGUAGAGGCGAGUGGAAUUCCCGGUGUAGCGGUGAAAUGCGCAGAUAUCAGGAGGAACACCAAUUGCGAAGGCAGCUCGCUGGAACGUAACUGACGCUGAGACGCGAAAGCGUGGGGGAGCAAACAGG